rnacentral:rRNA from 1 species
UACGUAGGGUCCAAGCGUUAUCCGGAAUCACUGGGCGUAAAGCGUGCGUAGGCGGUUUGUUAAGUGAGAUGUUAAAGCGUGUGGCUCAACCAUAUCGUUGUGUCUCAUACUGGCAGACUAGAGGAAGGCAGAGGCAAGUGGAAUUGGCAGUGUAGCAGUGAAAUGCGUAGAGAUUGCCAGGAACACCAAUGGCGAAGGUAGCUUGCUGGGCCUUUUCUGACGCUGAGGUACGAAAGCGUGGGGAGCGAACAGG